AAAGAGCCUUUGUGUGUGAUGUCAUAUACAUUGCUUUGAUUUUUAGGGAUUACCGGUAAACCAAUAAACUACUUUGACUAGUGACUUUAACCAUUUGUUUUAUUAAUGUUUAUUCAUAAUGCAAUUUAUUCUGCUUACCUGACUCAUGCAGACUUCUGUCUUGAUGUUUGGCUGUGGUCCCCCCAUCAUUCACUCUUCGGCAACCGGUCUAUUUAUGGAGACCACCAUGAUCUAAUCUAUACCGAUCUAGUUGUCUCUUCUCCCACAAACUCCACUUUCAAGAGUACAGAAGUGUCAACAUGAGCUCCUGACCUCUCUGUGGCUCAGCUGUUUUAGGACUUUUUCAGAACUACAUCUUUUUUGGUCACCACAAUCAGGAUGUUCAGUGGGGAUUCAUCGCUGGAUUCCACCUAUGGAAAAGUUUAGGUUGGGAGUGUGUUGUCAUACCAGCAGAAACAACCUGCAUCAUUACUCACCAUCAUGAUGCCCCAUCACCACCACAUCUACCACUUAUUGGUUACAGCCUUGAUACAUCUGUCUGCUUGUUUGUCCAUAGCGAACAUAUUUGUUUUUGUAUGUAACCAACACACUUGUACAGGAAAUGUAACACGUUAUAUAUAUAUAUAUAUAUAUGUGUAACCGGCAGAGUAAUCGCUGUCUGGUUGAAGUUUGUCCCUCUGCAGCUACGGUUACCCCCUGACGUCACUCAGCUAGCCGUGAGUGGCUAAACAACUCAUUUGUGUCUGGCCAGUUGCUAUAAAAUCGUCUGCCUGUUGAGCUUAGAGAUAUUCUCUGAUGCACGAUACGUUUUCAGUCCUGUUGCUGCUUGGGUAUGUGGUUCUCCUGUGUCAAAGUGUUUUACUGAUUGCCAGACGCUUCCGGGUAAUCGCGCUGUGUAUUGCUGAAGGUCCUGGGCAAAGCACACGCCGGGUAGCUUUACCACAAUUUACUAGCAUCAAGAAGGUCUGGGGCAAAGUACCCGCCGUGUAGCUGUAACGUUAC